rnacentral:pre_miRNA from 1 species
AGGAGGAACAACCCCAGUGGCUGGACCAACUCAGGAGCCCUAGAGUCAACUCCCGCAGUAACUCCGGAGCUCUCCGUCUGCAGGGCCUGGAUGCUCGGGGGCGGG